GGAAUAUUGGGCAAUGCCCGCAAGGGUGACCCAGCAAUGCCGCGUGGAGGCAGCAUGUCGUAAGAGUGUAAACUCCUGUUAGAGGGGAAGAAUAGUACCGGUUGGACCGGUAUAUGACUGUACCCUCAGAGAAAGCCUCGGCUAACUACGUGCCAGCAGCCGCGGUACUCCGUAGGGGGCAAGCGUUGACCGGAUUUACUGGGUGUAAAGGGCGCGCAGGCGGGAUAAAAAGUCAGUGGUGAAAUCCUACAGCUUAACUGUAGAACUGCCUUUGAUAUUUUUAUUCUUGAGUUCGGGAGAGAGAGACGGAAUUCCAGGUGUAGGGGUGAAAUACGUAGAUAUCUGGAAGCACUCCCGGUGCGAAGGCGGUCUCUUGGUCCGACACUGACGCUGAGGCGCGAAAGCGUGGGGAGCAAACA
rnacentral:rRNA from 1 species